GUGCAUCAUCUCUGUGAUUUGGAAAGGAAAUGACUGAAUAUGAUGAAGCCAGUUGAUGAAGAUAUCAAUUGAAUGGCCACCGAGUGCAUCACUGCUACCUGAACCCAUCAGUUAUCUUCUGUGAAGACUGCAUUCACAAACCGCUCUACUGCGACAGCUCAGAUGUUACGGCCUGUAAAAGUAAACAUCACAGCUAAACAACGAGAGCUAGUUGUGGUGGGAUUCUUUUGGCCAAUAUCCCCAACAAGAAUCAAUGACAUCUAGACCAGGUGGAGUGUGAGGAGGACCGUCAGAGACUCCAGCCAGCCGAGCCAUGGAUUGCUCUCACUGUUACCAUCAGGCAGACGUUAUCACAGAACCUACACCAGCAGACAGUGAGACAAGUUCCUUUCACAGGCAAUCAGACUGAACUGAACUCAUACCAGUAAAACCAUACACACCCCACCAACCUCAUAUGCCCUGCACUCUUAUCAGUUAUGCUGACUGGACUCAAUAUUAUUAUUCACCCUGACAUUCUGUUUGCACUAAUUCAUACCGUGCUUUACUGCAGAGAUGUAUGUGUACUGUGAUUAUUAUUGUUUUCAAUUCAUGCUCUCUGUAUAGCAUAAUUUUUAACAUAUAUUGUUCUCUACCUGAAUUGAGUCCCUUAUAUAUGUGUGUUGCAUAUAUAUAUUCAGAAUUUGUAUUACAUAUAUUCAUGAUUUUAAUUCAUUUGUCAUCCAUACUGUCACGCUGCAGUCUGCACCCAAGACUUUCAUCACCUGUAUACUUUUGUUCAUUGUAUUGUGACAAUAAAGAUAUUUGAUUUAAA